rnacentral:rRNA from 1 species
UAGGACGAACGCUGGCGGCGUGCCUAAUACAUGCAAGUCGAACGGUCUUUCUAUGGAAGCUUGCUUCCACUGAGAAGAUAGUGGCGAACGGGUGAGUAACACGUGGGUAACCUGCCCAUAAGAGGGGGGAUAACAUCCGGAAACGGGUGCUAAUACCGCAUAGUUUUCUUGAUCGCAUGAUUGAGAAAGGAAAGAUGGCCUUUGUGCUGUCGCUUAUGGAUGGACCCGCGGCGUAUUAGUUAGUUGGUGAGGUAACGGCUCACCAAGACGAUGAUACGUAGCCGACCUGAGAGGGUGAUCGGCCACAUUGGGACUGAGACACGGCCCAAACUCCUACGGGAGGCAGCAGUAGGGAAUCUUCCGCAAUGGACGAAAGUCUGACGGAGCAACGCCGCGUGAGUGAAGAAAGGUUUUCGGAUCGUAAAACUCUGUUGUCAGAGAAGAACAAGUUGGAGAGUAACUGCUCCAGCCUUGACGGUAUCUGACCAGAAAGCCACGGCUAACUACGUGCCAGCAGCCGC